GUCCACUCCCUGACUAGGUCAGGUCUGCAAGGUUCUACUAGGACUUGAAGGAGCAUCAGUGCAGACUAAGACUGCUUGAGAAGCGGGUGACGAUGGCUUCCCGUUUUAUCUGGUUCCUGAGUUCGCUGUUGGCGCUCCUCUUCUGCCACCAAGCUGCAACAUUGACUGACAUCGACACUCUGAUAGUCAUGGGAAAAGUGGGAAAACAAAAAAAUAUCCCCGCGGAUCGUCAGUUUGGUGUGCUGUAUCUGCCAGAAGGGGACAUCAGUGGCACAGGCUGCCAUAAAUAAAUUUCAACGGCGGGGAAGUUAAUGCUCAUUGCAGC